rnacentral:rRNA from 1 species
AGCGAACGUUUGCGGCGGGCCUAACACAUGCAAGUCGAACGGGCAGGGGCAACCCUGUCAGUGGCGCACGGGUGCGUAACACGUGGGUAAUCAACCCUUUGGACUGGGACAACCCGGGGAAACUCGGGCUAAUACCGGAUGUGGCGUGGCGGUCCUCGGACUGCUCCGCGAAAGCUCCGCAAGGGGCACCAGAGGACGAGCCCGCGUCCCAUCAGCUAGUUGGUGAGGUAAUGGCUCACCAUGGCGAAGACGGGUAGCUGGUCUGAGAGGAUGAUCAGCCACACUGGAACUGAGACACGGUCCAGACUCCUACGGGAGGCAGCAGUGGGGAAUAUUGCGCAAUGGGCGAAAGCCUGACGCAGCCACGCCGCGUGUGCGAUGAAGGUCUUCGGAUCGUAAAGCACUGUGGGGGGAGAAGAAACAAGCCGGUGAAGAGCCGGCCCUGACGGUAUCCCCUUAGCAAGCACCGGCUAACUCCGUGCCAGCAGCCGCGGU